rnacentral:lncRNA from 1 species
GUCUUAACUCAGGGGCAAACAUCUGCCUGGAGAAUUGCAGUGAACACAGAGCCUCUGAUUUAACAACCCCAAAGUGACCAACUCUCAGAUAUGACUCUGGAUUGAACAGAUAAGGAGGUGCCAGUAACAUGACAUAUAAUACCAAAAACAACAAUCAGAUAUGCAGAUAUGCUGACCUCAGAAGACCAGUCAGAAACCCCUUGCCAUGAAGCUGUUCAAUUCUUUUUGGGAGCAUUUGGCCUUCUAGACAUCCUGAGAGUUUCUGGGCAAGAAUGUCAUGAAUCACCAUUGUGAGUAAAGCAUCACAGAAGACAUACGCUAUCUUCCACUAUUCGUGGCAGACUGGUAGAAGAGCUCUAAAGGUGAGGUUGAUUUCAGA